ACCUGAGCGCCGUCUAUAGAUUAAACGUGCACUUGAUUCGCGAAUAUGUAGAAUGAAAACAAAAGUGUCAAACCAUUUUCAAAUAUUUAUGUAUAUAUAUAUUCAUCGUCAAAAAAAUCGGAAAUAGUACAAUUUACACGUAAAAAUGGCUGAGAAUGAAUUUGUAUCCGAUGGUGACGAAUGUCUUGUUACAGAAGCUAUCAAUUUAGAUAUUGAAGAGUUAGAUAAUAUGGAAUAUGCUAUACCAAUCGUGGAAGAAUUACCCACCUUAGAAAGUAUACUGAUGGAACCUGAUUAUGAAUCGCCAUCAGAAACUGAUGAAGAUGUUGGUUUACAAUUAGGAGAGAAACUUGGUAGCAGUGAGACAACGAGUAUUGGCAGUCACUUAUCAUUAAAUUCAUUAAACAAAUCUUCUAAAAUCUCUCAGAAAGCAUUCUCCGGUGUCAUAUUAAGGCAUGUCAUACUCAAAGGAAUAACAUCGCAAAUUGUAUCGGCCAGUGAGAGAGUCAAUGCUGGUUUAGCUAGCGCAGUUGCAGCUGGAGGAAACAUGUUGGUGAUUGGUACCAGCCAUGGUCUAAUAUUGGGCUUUGACUCUUCGCAAACAUUACGAUGGUGCGACCAAGAAGCUAGACAUCAAGGUUCUGUUUCCGCUCUCUGCUUCAAUUAUGAGGGCAGCAGAGUGUUAGCUGGUUUUGUCAGAGGACACAUUUUGAUGUUAGAUAGUAGUAAUGGAAAAGUUUUAAGAAUUCUCACUGAUGUACAUCCGCUUGACACUGCUGUGUUACAUGUUAAGUUUACAGAUUCACCAAAAAUAGCUCUAUGUAGCGAUAGCGGUGGCUCAGUGUUUGAAUUGAAUUUCACCAGAGUGAUGGGUGUAAGAGGUUGCGACAGUAGAUGCUUGUUUAGCGGCUCUAAAGGAGAAGUGUGCACUCUGGAGCCCUUGUUAUUAAAUCACUUGCCAUCGCAUCCGUUGAAAAAUUACACACUAGUAGCAAUGGCGACAUUAUCAAAGGUAAUUGUAGUUUGCAUAAGACCGCGAAUGCGCGUUGUAUUGAGUCAUCCGUUAACUGGUGCCUCAACAGCACCGCCACAAUUAUCUUGGCAACUAGUCGUCAUACAGACAGCUGAUGGCUCUCGUGUGAUCGACCCAGUAUUGGCACUUGCAAGAGACAAUGUGGUUCAUUUUUAUCAAGUGUACACCGAAAUUGGGUCACGAGUAAAGUUAUCUCCUCUUCGGAGAAUGACGCUACCAUAUAUGAUAAGCAAUUUGAAGUGGUUGAAUCCAAGAUCUCUCAUAGUAUUGGACAGCCAAGAAAAGUUGCAUUUGUUGGAUGUAAGAGCGCAGGAUAAUUUGGAGACGUUAGAUAUGAGUCGUGUUGGUAUAUCUUAUGCCUCUAGUCAUUUUAAAGGAUUGUCUACCGGAGGAAAUGUUUCCAAAGCAAUGGCAUUAGCAGGCGAACGAGCGUGUUACAAUACCGUUAUAGUCUUUGGUACACAGUUACUAUUAUUAGGUACAAAGAGUUUACAUGUAAUUUGUAUAAGAACGUGGACAGAAAGAUUGCAACACUUGAUUAUGCAGAAACGUUUCCCCGAAGCUUUAGCGUUGGGUCUCUCCUUUUAUCAAGACAAAGGUAAGGCGGUCAUUGGCCUUCGUGGUUCCAAGCAACGUCGAAAGCAAAUUGCUCGUGACAAGGUUUGCGAAGUGUUGAUUCAAUAUAUGGACGAAUUGAAUCAGUGUUUGAUGGAGGAGAACGUGGACUAUGACACGAUAGUACUCACUUGCGUCGAUUAUUGCAUUCAAUUGGAGAAUUUAGAUUUGCUGUUUGGAAAGUUAUGGGAUAUAGUCUUUGAGUCGGAAGGGCUGAAAACGAGUUACUUACACGCUCUCGAAGCUCCUCUACUCGAUGGAAGUCUUCAACCAAAAUUACCACCAUUGCUCGCCCAACAACUGGUGACUCUUUACGAUCAAGAGGACAAAGUAGAUUCGUUAGAGGCGAUCAUAGUUUUACUCAAUGUGGAUUGUUUAGAUAUUCAUCAAGUAACGACAAUCUGUCGUCGACGAGGACUUUGGGAAGCACUAAUCUAUCUUCAGACAACAGCGCUGGGCGAUUUUACAGCGCCCAUUCAUCAGUUAGUGCCGGUGCUUCAAAAUUUAUUGCGUGAUCCGACAGCAACCCUUUCUCGAGACUGUAUAAAACUCGGCAAUGCCAUUCUGGUUUAUACCAGUUGUUGCCUCGCUGGCCGUGGAUUUCCCAAGGAUGAGCUUCCGGAAGGCAUACCGCAGAAGGCGAAAGCAGACAUAUUAAGAGCCCUACUUUCUCAACACUCAAGUUUGGCGAACGAUACAGAGAGGCAGUAUCCAUAUUUGAGAACGUUACUGCAAUUCGAUGCGAAAGGCUUUUUGGAUGUUAUAGCCAUCGCCUUUCAAGAGCCAGAAUUCACCUCCGAGAUGGGCCUUAGACAUCGACAAAGACUCAUAGACAUCUUAUUGAGCAUUGUUAUGCCAAACACACCCGUUUCUCCAAAAAGUAUCGAUUAUAUCACGACGGAGCAACAAUUUAUGGUUCUUAUGUUUGUGGCGAAUGAAGUGUCGGAAAGUACUGUUAUAUUAGAGUCUAGUACAUUAAAGAAAAUGAUAGAUAUAUUGUGCAUUGAUUCGAAUAUAGAACUGUCGAAAGACUUUAAGACUGAGAGAGAAAACGCUGUGUUGGGGUUAUUACAUUCCAAAAAGCUGUGCAACAUAUCUGACAACACUUUACUAAAUUUAGCAAAUAGAGCGAAUUUCAUACGAGUCGCAGAGUUACUGUACAGUGCACGAGAAGAUUGGAUAGCAGUAUGCAAAUGUAUGAUCUUGGACUCGUCUAGGCAUCACGAUAUCUGGCCCUGGCUCGAGAAUUUGCCGGCCGCUUCACUGGACCAAGUUAUAUCGAAUCACGUUUCGACCCUCGUGACGAUUAAUAUCGCCCAAUUCGCCACGAUCAUCGCGACGCGACUGCAGAACAAAAUCAACGUGAUAUUGCAGAGUCUUGACAAUUUAAACUUACAGUAUAAGUUGCUAGGAGCGUUGUAUCAAAUCGCGCAAUAUAAGGAGGAAGAUGUCUCUUUAGAAUUAACGACUGAACAAUUGGAGAGAUACUUGGCGUUGAUGUGUGAGUUGGAACCAAAAUACGUUGUUGCUCAUCUCCACGGACCGCACGGCUGUAGAUUGGAGGAGGCGUUAAAGACUGUACAAAGAUGGAAUUGCAAGGACGCGGAAGCAGUGAUGUUAGAAAAACUGGGCAAUUAUCAGGAAGCGUUUAAUCUUUUGCUGAAGGAUUUUGAUCAUCAACUGGAGAGGUAUCGCCAGGACGAAGCUUCGGAAAGCGAGACGAUGCACGCCGCCGCACAGCUCGCUGGAAUAUGUCGAAGAUCAGCGGGCAAUCUGGACUGGAUGCCCCUCGUAGAAGCUGCGUUCCGUUCGCAUUCGGAUAAUAAUAAGCAAAAGAUGGACAAAUUGAGCGGUAAAUUAUUGAGAUUAAUUCUAGAAUCUCUGAGCGGUACGUCGAUACUAUCGAACAUCCUGGAGCAAAUCUUGAGGAACCCAUUAGCGACGAGCGGAACGAUGGGCGAUAUACGACAAUUGCUAUCCGGAGUCCUCACUCAGUCGCGAUAUGAACAAACCCUGGUCGAAACUACCGCGCGAUUAGUGAGUUUGGAACUUCACAAGGCUUUGGAAAAAUCCUUGAGGGAUGCCGGUAGAGCAUGUGGCACUGUUUCCGUGACUUGCCCUGUAUGUAGACAGCUGUUGUCACAGUGUUCUGAUCACGCAGUGGUGUUCAGCUGUGGUCAUGGAUAUCAUUCAACGUGUCUGGGCGAACCUAAAUCAUGUUACAAAUGCUUGAACAUAAAAGGAUGGGCACCAGUCGCCACCAAUCUCGCCAUUCCGCAGCCUCCGCCUCCGAGAAAAAAACAGCUUCUUCCGCCGGAAUUCCUACGUCAUAGAGAUCUUACGCUAAGACUAGCACCGUCCUGUCCUAUUCCCGAUCUCGAGGGCAUCUUUUAAUCUAGUCUUCGAUUAUGUAUUAUUGAGAGAACGACGAGAUCGCAUUUGUGAGCGAUUUCUGAUGAGUGAAUUGCAGAGUCUUGGCUACUGCACACGUAAGGCAUUCUCCAUCUAAAAUUAUCCUAUUAUCAAAACACCGUACUAUGCCAUUAUAAUUUUAUACUGUAUUUUGAAAGGCAUGCGACACAAAUCCAUAAAUAAAAUAGAGUGAAAAAAUUUACCAUUUUGUUCCAUCUUGGAAUUAUGAUGAGGAUCUGAUAAUAACCAGUUGACAAGAGCCGGAACAUGAAAUAAUGCUUGAAGAGUACUAUUCAAGUAACAUGUAUUCCCAAUAUUGAACAUGCCUGCUCCGACUGGAACCGUGAUUUUCCAUCCCAGCUGAACUUUCUUAGGAGAAUACAAAGUAACAGCUGGUUCUGGUAAAACUGGCAAAACUUUAUUUGCAUCAUUCUUCUUUUUAUAACUUGCGCCAUCCUUUGCUUUGCUAUCCUCUAAAUUGUCAGAUAAAUUGAGAAAAAUGUUGCAGUUAGCUUGCACCUGAUUUCCUUGAUAAUCCUUUAAUUCUUCAUAACGGAUCUCCGUUUGCAUAAUUCGAGAAGCAUUGCUGACUAAUUCAAUCGACAGAUCGUCCGAGGUUUUGGACGAACUGCUGUUUAAAGCACAAUGGAGCCUAGCUGCAAUAGGAUCGCAGACACUGACUGCAGGCAUUUUAGCGGUAUGGUUUGAAUUUUAUUGUUUAUUAAUCACACAGACACACCUGUAAUAAGAUAUUAACUAUGAAAUAUAAUUUUCAAAUUAUGUAGCUCUA